GUGGCUCCGGGCAUGACUUGCCAGUACACUAUACAGUUUAUCCCGGACUGUCUCGGGGAUUUUGAUGAUUUCAUUUUAGUCGAGACCCAGUCAACUCACACGCUCCUGAUCCCCCUGCAGGCCCGGAGGCCGCCCCCCGUGCUGACCUUGUCGCCAGUGUUGGACUGUGGUUACUGCCUCAUUGGAGGAAUAAAGGUAACCAGAUUCAUCUGCAAAAAUGUGGGCUUCAGCGCUGGCAAAUUCUGCAUUAUGCCCAAAAAGAGUUGGCCACCACCAAGUUUCAGGGCGGUUGCAACUUCCGGCUUUGUUGAGCAGCCUCCCUUUGGAGUCAUGCCAUCCGUGUUUGAGCUGGCCCCAGGCUUUGCUGUGUUAAUAGAGGUCUUGUUCCUCCCAAUGAGCCUGGAAAAGGUGGAGCAGACCUUCAUCAUCGUGUGUGACAACUGCCAAGUCAGGGAGCUGGUGAUCACAGGAAGGGGGCAGCUGAUCGCUUUGGAUCUGAUCUAUGUUUCUGGUGAAAAAAGUCAACCGGACCCUGGAGAGCUCACAGACUUAACGGCCCAGCACUUCAUACGCUUCAAGCCUGAAAACAUUCGAUCCACAGCAAGGAAACAGCUGAUUAUCCGAAAUGCUACGUGAGCUGCCCCUGGGCGUGCCCCUGACGCAUACCCCUGCCCCUUCCCCUUCCUCUUCCCCUUCCUCACCCGACCCUGAAUUUCCACUCAGGCCGGAGCUUACUUGCCUUGGGGAUUCUGAUCUCAGAUUAGAUCCAGACUGAAUGUAAGGACCCAGAUUUACUCUGUCCAUCAUAGUGGUCACCAGGCACAUAUGGAUUUUUAAAUCUAAAUCAAAUAAAAUUACAAUUUUCUUCUAGGGUGCUAGUCACAGUCUAGUCACACAAGAGCUCAGUAUCCACAGGUAAGCAGUGGCUACCCUAUUAGUGCAGCUCUCUAAGACUUCCAUUGCUUCGGGAAUCUCACUGUCACAGUGCUGCUCUAAACUAUUUCAGUCCACCCCGAGCCAGGGAUAGUUUUCCACCUUACUUCCUGUGCUGGGGAAGUAAUCCUGGUCCCCAGCCCUACAUCUGUUGGUUCAGCUCUCAUUGCCAUUUAUUUUCUGACCAGCCUCUGAGCAUUACCCUUCUGUCGGGGACCAACCUCGGGGAACUUCCAGCCCAGGCUACCUGGUGACCUGAGAUGCUAACAGCCGCUGUCUACAACAUGGCCAGAGUCCUGCCCCUCCUACUGCCGUGGGGUUUUCAUUGUUUCUCUUGGCAGUGAGGGGGCACACGUCUUUCAUGACAUAGCUGUCCUGGGAGGCGACAGCUGGAGGCGGAGGGCAGGGACGGGUGGAUGUGGCAAACUGUGGAAACUCUCACUUGGUAGAAGAUAGUGCAGAGGAUUUUCCUAACAUUUUCCAGGGGUUGGGGCUGAGGGGGCUAGAUACCUUUGGUUUAAUGCUUAGUUUUUAGAUUUUAAAUCUAAAUCAAUUAAAAGUAAAUUAAAUUGAAUUGAUUUAAAUGAUUAAAUUAAAUGAUUUCCUGAGUUGUCCGUUUCCCCUGAUGUGCUGCGGUUCCAGUCUCUAGAGCUGUGGAUGGGUAGAGGUGGCUCUCUUUCAUGGCCUCUAAUUUGGGCACCCUGACUCGCCUACCGUCCUUAUGCAGUUCUCCUUAGGCUCCUCCAUGGCAACUGCUUGAAGACUGACCUAGUCACUUCCUGUUUCUGGGUGUUUUCUUGCUUUCUCCUGGAGCAGAGCUGGCCAAGCAUGGGGUGGGAGGACCUGGUCCUGGAAGAAUUGGAGCACAGCAUUAGAUCUGCUGCCCAAUGUCAUGAUUGCCCCCACAGACACGUGGAGCUGGCUUUCCACUGGCAGAUCAUGAAGCCCAACCUGCAGCCCCUAAUGCCUGGAGAAACCUACAGCAUGGACAGCAUCAAGUACCACCCUGACAGGGAGACUGCCUUCUCCAUCAUACCCGAGAAGGGGGUUCUGAGCCCCCACAACAACCAAGAAUUCAUCCUGAGCUUUUCUC
ensembl:lincRNA